rnacentral:rRNA from 1 species
AACGAACGCUGGCGGCAGGCUUAACACAUGCAAGUCGAGCGCCCCGCAAGGGGAGCGGCAGACGGGUGAGUAACGCGUGGGAAUCUACCCAUCUCUACGGAAUAACGCAUGGAAACGUGUGCUAAUACCGUAUACGUCCUUCGGGGGAAAGAUUUAGUGGAGAUGGAUGAGCCCGCGUUGGAUUAGCUAGUUGGUGGGGUAAAGGCCUACCAAGGCGACGAUCCAUAGCUGGUCUGAGAGGAUGAUCAGCCACACUGGGACUGAGACACGGCCCAGACUCCUACGGGAGGCGGCAGUGGGGAAUAUUGGACAAUGGGCGCAAGCCUGAUCCAGCCAUGCCGCGUGAGUGAUGAAGGCCCUAGGGUUGUAAAGCUCUUUCACCGGUGAAGAUAAUGACGGUAACCGGAGAAGAAGCCCCGGCUAACUUCGUGCCAGCCGCCGCGGUAACAC